GACGAACGCUGGCGGCGUGCCUAACACAUGCAAGUCGAGCGAACGGACGCGAAGUUUGCUUCUCUGUUGUUAGCGGCGGAGGUGAGUGUAACAUGUGGAUAACCUACCUAUCUGACUGGUAUAAUUACGGGAAAGGGGCGCUUAUACCGGAGGAUCUUUUGCACCGCAUGGUUCAAUAGUGAAAGUCGGUGUUUCGGUCUCUACUAGCUGCUUCCGCGCUGGAUUAGUUGGUUGGUAAGGUAACGGCUUACCAAGGCUAGGAUGCAUAGGCGACCUGAGAGGGUGAUCGGCCACACUGGAACGGAGACAGGGUCCAGACUCCUGCGGGAGGCAGCAGUAGGGAAUCUGCCGCAAUGGGCGAGAGCCUGACAGAGCAACGCCGCGUGAGGGAUGAAGGUCUUCGGAUCGUAAAACUCUGUUAUUAGGGAAGAACAUAUGUGUAAGUAACUGUGCACAUCUUGACGGUACCUGAUCAAAAAGCCACGGCUAACUACGUG
rnacentral:rRNA from 1 species